UAGGGAAUCUUCGGCAAUGGACGAAAGUCUGACCGAGCAACGCCGCGUGAGUGAAGAAGGUUUUCGGAUCGUAAAACUCUGUUGUUAGAGAAGAACAAGGACGUUAGUAACUGAACGUCCCCUGACGGUAUCUAACCAGAAAGCCACGGCUAACUACGUGCCAGCAGCCGCGGUAAUACGUAGGUGGCAAGCGUUGUCCGGAUUUAUUGGGCGUAAAGCGAGCGCAGGCGGUUUCUUAAGUCUGAUGUGAAAGCCCACGGCUCAACCGGGGAGGGUCAAUGGAAACUGGGAGACUUGAGUGCAGAAGAGGAGAGAGGAAUUCCAUGUGUAGCGGUGAAAUGCGUAGAUAUAUGGAGGAAAACCAGUGGCGAAGGCGGCUCUCUGGUCUGUAACUGACGCUGAGGCUCGAAAGCGUGGGGAGCAAACAGG
rnacentral:rRNA from 1 species